rnacentral:rRNA from 1 species
GAAUAUUGCACAAUGGGGGAAACCCUGAUGCAGCAAUGCCGCGUGAGUGAUGACGGCCUUCGGGUUGUAAAGCUCUGUCUUCAGGGACGAUAAUGACGGUACCUGAGGAGGAAGCCACGGCUAACUACGUGCGAGCAGCCGCGGUAAUACGUAGGUGGCAAGCGUUGUCCGGAUUUACUGGGCGUAAAGGGAGCGUAGGCGGAUUUUUAAGUGAGAUGUGAAAUACCCGGGCUUAACUUGGGUGCUUCAUUUCAAACUGGAAGUCUAGAGUGCAGGAGAGGAGAAGGGAAUUCCUAGUGUAGCGGUGAAAUGCGUAGAGAUUAGGAAGAACACCAGUGGCGAAGGCGCUUCUCUGGACUGUAACUGACGCUGAGGCUCGAAAGCGUGGGGAGCAAACA